rnacentral:rRNA from 1 species
AGCGAACGCUGGCGGUAGGCUUAACACAUGCAAGUCGAACUGCAGCACAGUAAUAUCUUGCUCUUACGGGUGGCUAGUGGCGGACGGGUGAGGAAUACAUCGGAAUCUACUUUUUCGUGCGUGAUCACGUAGGGAAACUUACGCUAAUACCGCAUACUACCUACGGGUGAAUGCAGGCGCGCUUCGUACCUUGCGCGAUGGAAUGAGCCGAGGUCGGGUUAGCUAGUUGGCGGGGUAAAGGGCGGCGAAGGCGACGAACCGUAGCUGGUCUGAGAGGGUGGUUCGGCACCCUGGAUGUGAGGAAGAGCAGCGACUCCGACGGGAGGAAGCAGUGGGGAAUAUUGGACGAUGGGCGAGAGCCUGAUACAGCAAUAUCGCGUCGAUGAAGAAGGAGUUCGGCUUGUAGAGCCAUGUUGUUGUGAAAGAAGAGCAGCAGGUUUAUCCCGGGCUGUUCUGACGGUACCCAAAGAAUAAGCACCGGCUAACUUCGUG